ACCCGUUGAUCCUGCGGGAGGUCGCUGCUAUCAGAAUUCGACUUAACUAAGCUAGUUCAGGGGCUUGUUCGCAAGCACCGGCAGACAGUUCCAUAACAUGUCGGUAAUCUGCCCUUUGGUUCGGGAUAACCUUGGGAAACUGAGGCUAACACCGAAUAGGUGAUUAAUACUGCAAUGUUUUUUCUCCGAAAGAUUACGCCAAAGGAUGAGCCGGCACCCGAUUAGGUAGUUGGUGGGGUAAUGGCCCACCAAGCCAAAGAUCGGUAGGGGCCUUGAGAGAGGUAUCCCCGAGGAGGACACUGAGAUAAGGGUCCUGACUCUACGGAGUAUAGCAAGUGCGAAAACUUUACAAUACACGAAAGUGUGAUAAGGGAAUUCUGAGUGCCUAUGCUUUGCAUAGGCUUUUUGCCUAGAGUAAAAAUCUAGGAGAAUAAGUGGUGGGCAAGACUGGUGCCAGCAGCCGCGGUAACACCAGCGCCACAAGUGGGGACCAGUAUUAUUGGGCCUAAAGCGUUCGUAGCCGGUUAAAUAAAUUUUCUGUGAAAUUGUUAGGCUUAACUUAACAUCGUGCAGAAAACACUAUUUAACUAGAGACCGGGAGGAGUUAGAGGUAUUCGGAGGGUAGCGGUAAAAUGCAAUAAUCCUACGAGGACCACCAGUGGCGAAGGCGUCUAACUAGAACGGGUCUGACGGUGAGGAACGAAAGCCAGGGGAGCGAACCGGAUUAGAUACCCGAGUAGUCCUGGCCGUAAACGCUGCGAGCUAGGUGUUGCAUAUUCUACAAGAAUAUGCAGUGUCGUAGAGAAGUCGUUAAGCUCGCCGCCUGGGUAGUACGGUCGCAAGACUGAAAACUUAAAGGAAUUGGCGGGGGAGCACAACAAGGGGUGCGGCGUGCGGUUUAAUCCAACUCAACACGGAGAAUCUCACCAGAGGCGACGGCAGAAUGAAAGUCAGGCUGAAGACCUUACUUAACAAGCCGAGAGGUGGUGCAUGGCCGUCGUCAGCUCGUGCUGUGAAGUGUCCUGUUAAGUCAGGCAACGAGCGAGACCUGCACUUACAAUUGCCAGCAGCUCAUUUCUGAGGACUGGGCACAUUGUAAGGACUGCCUUGGAAACAAGGAGGAAGGUGCAGGCAACGAUAGGUCUGUAUGCCCCGAAUCCUCUGGGCUACACGCGCGCAACAAUGGUAUGGACAAUGGGAUACAACUCCGAAAGGAGAAGUUAAACCUCUAAACCAUAUCUCAGUCCAGAUUGAGGGUUGUAACUCACCCUCAUGACGUUGGAAUCCCUAGUAAUCAGACUUUAGCAUAGUCUGGUGAAUAUGUCCCUGCUCCUUGCACACACCGCCCGUCAAACCAACCGAGCAGGGUCUAGGUGAAACUUAGUUUAUUGAUUAAGUUGAAUCUAGGCUCAGUGAGGUGGGUUAAGUCGUCACAAGGUA
rnacentral:rRNA from 1 species